CUUGGUCUUAUUAGAGGAAGUAAAAGUCGGUACCAGGUUUCCGUAGGUGAACCUCCGGAAGGAUCCAUACAGAGAAACGGGUCUUACGGGGUAGAUCUCCCACCCUUUGUUUAUUGUACCAUGUUGCUUUGGCAGGCCCGCUCUUCGAGCCACUGGCUUUUAGCUGGUCAGCGCCUGCCAGAGGACCCAAACUCUUGAUUUUGUGUUGUCUGAGUGUUUAAUUUAAUAAUUGAAAACUUUCAACAACGGAUCUCUUGGUUCUGGCAUCGAUGAAGAACGCAGCGAAAUGCGAUAAGUAAUGUGAAUUGCAGAAUUCAGUGAAUCAUCGAAUCUUUGAACGCACAUUGCGCCCUCUGGUAUUCCAGGGGGCAUGCCUGUUCGAGCGUCAUUACAACUAUCAAGCCCAGCUUGGUGUUGGGAGUCACCGGCUCCGGUGCUUCCUAAAAUCAGUGGCAGUGCCAUUGCGGCCUCGAGCGUAGUACUUGCUCUCGCUUGGAGGUUGAAUGUAUGCUUGCCAAAAUCUAUAUUCUACAAGGUUGACCUCGGAUCAGGUAGGGAUACCCGCUGAACUUAAGCAUAUCAAUAAGCGGAGGA
rnacentral:rRNA from 1 species